rnacentral:tRNA from 1 species
GGCUCGUUGGUCUAGGGGUAUGGUUCCUGGUUAGGGUGCAGGAGGUCCCGGGUUCAAAUCCCGGACGAGCCC